UACGUAGGGUGCGAGCGUUGUCCGGAAUUACUGGGCGUAAAGCGUGCGUAGACGGUUAUUUAAGUCGGAUGUGAAAGCCCCGGGCUCAACCUGGGAAUUGCAUUCGAGACUGAAUAGCUAGGGUGCGGUAGAGGGAAGCGGAAUUUCCGGUGUAGCGGUGAAAUGCGUAGAUAUCGGAAGGAACAUCAGUGGCGAAAGCGGCUUCCUGGACCAGCACCGACGUUCAGGCACGAAAGCGUGGGGAGCAAACAGG
rnacentral:rRNA from 1 species